rnacentral:tRNA from 1 species
GCUCAGAUGGUGAAAUUGGCAGACACGCCAGACUUAGGAUCUGGUUCCGCAAGGAGUGGGGGUUCGAGUCCCCCUUUGAGCACCA